UACGAAGGGGGCUAGCGUUGCUCGGAAUUACUGGGCGUAAAGCGCGCGUAGGCGGCUCGGAAAGUCGGGCGUGAAAACCCGGGGCUCAACUCCGGGCCUGCAGCCGAUACGGGCAGACUAGAGUUCGGCAGGGGAGACUGGAAUUCCUGGUGUAGCGGUGAAAUGCGCAGAUAUCAGGAGGAACACCGGUGGCGAAGGCGGGUCUCUGGGCCGAUACUGACGCUGAGGAGCGAAAGCGUGGGGAGCGAACAGG
rnacentral:rRNA from 1 species